AGAGGGUCAGUUAAGCAGGCAUACCAAUCAGUCAGUCCAGUGAAGCAUCUCAUUUGUUUGAUGGCAAGCAGAAACUCCCAAGCGUUUAAGUACAAACAACUGCAGUUCCUCUAGUGGCCACUUGAGGGUGGCAGCACGGAGUCCAUUCUCACCAUGUUGGCAGAAAAAACGGGUUCACAGCAUAGCAGAGAAAACUGUUGUGGUCUUUGUGACUAGGUCCUUUCUUCUGUGCAACGGCUCUUCUUCUUUAAAAGGUGUACGGCCCGACGUAGAUGGAGAGUCUGAGGGCGGAGCUUGUCUGAUAGUUGUUCUGGUAGUUGACCAGGGGGUUAAUGGACACCAUCUCCAGGUCCAACGUGUACUCUCUGGGCCCUGACACGGCACGGGCCAGCACCAGCAUGGCACUGAUGUUAUUGAUUUGCUGGGGAAGACAGAAAAUAAUGGAGUGUUAAAGCAGAGUGGCAUUUACACUGGUGCUCUUCUCACUGUCACAUGUCAAAGUGUCUUCUUUUAAAACGUCUCAUCACCUCUAUAUGAGGAUCCCACUCUCCUCACCCUGAUGUAAAAGUCUCCGUUUUCGUCACCGGAGCGGAUGCGGAAGGUGUUGUAAGCCCUCGCAGAGACGCUGGUAGCCUGGAUCUGGAAGA